GGUAGUUACGAAUCAGAAUUAAUAGGCCAUUUCCUAUUAAAUUUAAGGAACUAUAGGAGUCAAAACGCAAUGAGAGACUACCAACCAUAUAAUAUAAAUUUAAGGGAUGGGAUAAUGUCAUUCAUUCCAUCCUUAUUUAGCACAACAAAUUUCAUCAUCGCUUAGCGAGUUCUGGCAUAACUUAUAACUAGGACACGAUGAGGAUGAGAGAUGUUUGGGUCUUCCCUUUCCUCUUCCUCUUCUCAUCAGCUUUUCCGAUCACCUUACCCCUCCAUUCUGUAUCAGCUGCUGCUGUUCUCACCACAUCAUACCGACAUUAUCUGAGCAAUAUCGGCGAGUGUGAUGCCUUGCUUCAGUUCAGCAACUCAUUCAACAUCAAAGAGAAUGCCCCUGGAUACUACUGUGUUGUGCUCUCCUCCAUUUCUUCACAUCCGAAGACGGCCUCAUGGAAGAACGGGACAGAUUGCUGCUCAUGGGAUGGGGUCACAUGCCACAUCGCAACAAAUCAAGUGAUUGGCCUUGACCUCGCUUGCAGUUGGCUCCGAGGACCCCUUCAUUCCAACAGCACCCUUUUCUCCCUUCCCAGUCUUCAACGGCUCAACCUUGCUGGUAAUGAUUUCUACGGCUCACCAAUAUCCCCCAGCUUUGGUAUCUUCACUGGAAUGACACACCUCAAUCUCUCAUAUUCCCAAUUCUCGGGACCUAUUCCUCUGGACAUGAUCUCUCAGCUUUCCUCCCUAAUUACACUUGAUCUCUCUUACAUAAAUCCUCUAAUAACAAUAGGAGAUGAUCAUAGUUUGAGAAGGCUUGUGGGUAAUCUCACUCAGCUGAGAGAACUUGUUCUCGAUGGUGUAGGCAUGUCCAGAAUUUCUCUUGUUUCCUUGUCCAACUUGUCUUCCACUCUGACAUCUUUGAGUCUUCAACAAUGCUCUCUCACGGGCACUCUCCCAAACAACAUCUUCCAUCUCCCACGCCUCCGUAGUCUCUCUCUUUACGCGAAUUCUGAUCUUAUCGGUAGUCUCCCCCAGACAAACUGGAGUACCAGUUCGCUCGUCUCCUUGGUUUUAUCGGACACAAAGUUCCACGGGCCAAUUCCUGCUUCAGUGGGGAACUUGACAUCCAUGAAAAUUUUGGACCUCUCUUAUGCCAAAUUUACUGGCCCCAUCCCAUUGACACUAGGAAACCUUGCCCAUCUCACCGACUUGGACCUUGGUUCUAACACCCUCGGUAGUACCAUGGAAUUUGAAAUGUUUGCAAGGCUCAAAAGUCUCCAACUUCUUUCCCUUCAAUAUAACAACCUCUCUGUGUUGUUGCAAAGUAAUGGCAACUGUUCCUUCCCCAUGCUCAAAGUUUUGAUGCUGUCGAGUUGCAGAUUGACCGGCGCCACAUUCCCAUAUUUCUUGAAUUCUUCAGCUGAGCUGGAGGAGUUGGACCUUUCUAGAAACAUGAUUAGUGGUGGGAUUCCUGAUUGGAUUGGGAGAGUAGGGAGGGACACAUUGGCACUGUUGGAUCUCUCAUCCAACAAUUUCACAAGAGAGAUCCCAUCCUCAAUUUGCCAACUGAGUUCACUAAGUGAUUUGGACCUCUUUGAUAAUGGAUUCAGCGGCAGCAUUCCAAGGUGCAUUGGAAAUUUAAGCAACCUCUUGAAGCUAGAUGUCUCAAUUAACAGUUUCGCUGGAGAGAUCCCAUCUUCAGUGUGCCAAGAGAGUUCAAUUAUGGUUCUAUGACUCUCAAGUAACAGACUCGACGGCACCAUUCCCAGUUGUUUGGGAAAUUUAAGCAGCCUCACCGACUUGGAUUUGGGCGACAAUCAAUUGCAAGGUCGAUUGCCCCAGUCUCUUGCAAAUUGUACAAGGUUAGCUUAUUUAAAUGUCAGUUACAAUAGAAUAUCCGACACUUUCCCACAAGGGUUAUUAAAUGCUACCCUCCACAGCUUGAUGGGUCUAAGUUUGCAGUCAAACAAGUUUCAUGGGGUCAUUAACGAAAUUCCCCUCCCUCCUCUGCUUAAAGACUUCGGAGUCUCCGACAACCAUUUUUCAGGACCUUUCCCUACAAACUUCUUCCGAAAUUCAAGUGUAUACUUCAUUGACUUAACCGAUAACGAUUUUGAUGGAUUACUUCCCAUUCCACCACCCACCGUUCAGUAUCUUUCCGUUGCAAACAAUAAGUUUGGUGGAGACAUUCCUUAUGAGCUCUGCAAUGCCACUGAGCUAUAUCUCAUCAACCUCUCCAACAACAGCUUCACCGGCACUAUUCCUCCUUGUUUCCCAAAUUUAAAUUUAUCUGUAUUGGACCUUCGAGCAAACAAGUUUGUUGGUCAGAUACCAGAUAUUUUCCCCCCCGGAAACAUCUUGAGGACAAUCCGCUUAAGCCAAAAUCGACUUGGGGGUACGGUGCCACGAUCUUUGGUACAUUGCAAGGAGUUGGAAGUUUUGGAUCUCAGUGAGAAUGAGUUGGGCGGCCGCUUCCCUCAUUGGUUGGACACUUUUCCGAAUCUGCAAGUACUUGUCCUGAGAUCCAACAAGUUCCAUGGGCCGGUUAAGAGUUCUAGCAAAAGUGAUCAUCCCUUCCCCAAAUUGCGCAUUUUUGACCUCUCUAACAAUAGACUUUCGGGUCCAUUGCCAGCUAAGUAUAUCGCCAAACUAAAAGCCAUGAAAAAUGAAGAGAGAAGCGGUUUACAUUACAUGAAUGAGAAUAGCUACUGUAAAGAUGCCAUUGAGGUGGUCAUAAAAGGAAUGGAGAUUGAGCUGGUGAAAAUUCUGACUAUAUUUACAACCAUCGACUUCUCAAGCAACUGCUUCGGAGGAGAGAUUCCAGAAUUAAUUGGAGAUCUGAAGGCACUCAAGGGACUCAACUUUUCUCACAACAAUUUGACUGGCAGCAUCCCUUCUUCUGUCGGGAAUCUAACUAACCUUGAGUGGCUGGACCUCUCCUCAAACAAGCUCAAUGGGAAGAUUCCUGGAGAACUCGCGGAUGUUACGUUUCUCACCACCUUGAAUCUCUCAAACAACCUGCUUUCGGGACCAAUUCCCAAGGGCCCACAAAUCGAUACAUUCGUGCACUCAUUUGAUGGGAAUCCUGGAUUGUGUGGCCAUCCCUUGCCAACGGCAUGUGGGCUCGAUGGGCUGCAGUCACCGCCUACAACUUCUCCUGCAGAAGAAGAAGAGGAGGAAUCUGCACAUUGGAUUGAAUGGAGGGCAGUGGCAAUCGGCUAUGGAUCUGGACUUGUCAUUGGGAUAUCAGCAGGGUACAUUAUGCUGGAAAUUGGGAGGCCAAGAUGGCUGGUGAGAAUGGUUGAGAGAUGGCUGGUGAGAAUGGUUGAGAGGAAAAGACGCAGAAAGACAACUAGGCCGAAGAGAGAUGCGGCUCCAAGAAAUCACCCGAGGAGGAGCACUAGAGGCCAGUAAGAUGGGAGGCCAGUAGAAAAAUGGUGCAUGGAGGCUUCCAUCGACCGAGGAGAUUGGCAAUUUAUCAGUGAAGAGGAAAGCUUAAGCACUCUAUUCCUUCAGCAUCUUUUUCUUUUUUUCCCAGUUUCAAGUAAGCUGAUGUAAUCAUGUAUAUCGUCGUUCUGCAUGAUAAAUUAAAGUGCAUGAAUAAAAAAGCCUUCUGAUGCCUCUGAUGAUGUAAUCAUGUAUUUCGAUAGCAAAUCACUCUGCUCCCUGGAGAAAGUGACGCUUCUUUGUCAAUC